rnacentral:rRNA from 1 species
UACAGAGGUCUCAAGCGUUGUUCGGAUUCAUUGGGCGUAAAGGGUGCGUAGGCGGCGCGGUAAGUCGGGUGUGAAAUCUCGGGGCUUAACUCCAAAACUGCAUUCGAUACUGCCGUGCUUGAGGACUGGAGAGGAGACUGGAAUUUACGGUGUAGCGGUGAAAUGCGUAGAUAUCGUAAGGAAGACCAGUGGCGAAGGCGGGUCUCUGGACAGUUCCUGACGCUGAGGCACGAAGGCCAGGGGAGCGAACGGG